GUUUCAGGGCGAGGUGAAAUUCCUCACCGGCGGUUAAAGUCCGCGAGCAUGUACGUGAGUCAUACAGCUGAUUUAAAAGACGGUUUUGUUUUUAAUCGAAGUAUAUUAUGUAUAAGCUGAUCAGGUGAAAUUCCUGAACCGACGGUAUAGUCCGGAUGGGAGAAA
rnacentral:ncRNA from 1 species